GACUUAGCUCAGUGGUAGAGCGUGUGGCUUUUAACCAUAUGGUUGUGGGUUCGAACCCCACAGUC
rnacentral:tRNA from 1 species